rnacentral:rRNA from 1 species
GAAUGAACGCUGGCGGCGCGCCUAAUACAUGCAAGUCGAGCGAGAAGACGUAGCAAUACGUUUGUAAAGCGGCGAACGGGUGAGGAAUACAUGGGUAACCUACCCUCGAGUGGGGAAUAACUAGCCGAAAGGUUAGCUAAUACCGCGUACGCUUCUUGGACUUCGGUUCAGGGAGGAAAGCGAUGCCGAGGGUAUCGCGCUCUUGGAUGGGCUCAUGUCCUAUCAGCUUGNGGUGAGGUAACGGCUCACCAAGGCUUCGACGGGUAGCUGGUCUGAGAGGACGAUCAGCCACACUGGCACUGCGACACGGGCCAGACUCCUACGGGAGGCAGCAGUAAGGAAUAUUGCGCAAUGGGCGAAAGCCUGACGCAGCGGCGCCGC